AUGCAGCUUUCCAAAUACCAGUUGAGGCACUGCUGCAUCAAUCAGCGGAGAGGAUAAAGAACAGAAAAGCACAGGGGUGGGUGGGAGGACCGAUCCUGCCCUUUUCU